CAAGUGUAAGUAAAGCUAUCUUAAGCAGUAGAACCAAAUAAGACGAAAACCACAGCUAAAGCUUGCUUUCCUACGCGGCGCGGUAGUGUAUGUGUUAAACGGCGCCAAUUCCAAUCGUCAGGUCCGGGUAUCAAAUCUCAUCCGGAGCUUAACCUUAUAAGUCGUUAAGCCAAUAGGACAAUAUUUUUCACUUUCAUCUUUAAAAUUUUCAUUUUAUUUAUUUUAACAUUUGAUGUAAAUAAAUAAAAAAAUCUAUGAAAUGUAUGAAAAUAAAUAUUACAGUUCCGCAAUUCAUGAUGAAAAAUACUUAAAACAAUACAUUGUUAAUUUCUAUUCCUCCUUUGUUAAUAUCACCCAAUGAACCGAAAUCAAAGUAAUAAGCUCAUCAAGCAUAAAGAUUGCUACCUCAUAGCGAUCAACAGAGCAUUCACAAAAAUGUUUUCAUGUCCUUCCUCACGAAGUACGACCUGUAAUGGAUGAUUUUCUGUGGGGAAAAAAUUAUAUGCGUUCCUCGUCAUGUCAUUCUCUAAUUGACAUCCAUGGUAAUGCCGCUCCGGCAAGCUUCCGGAGGAAGUAUAAAAAAAAGAUUCAUCUUUCAUUUUUCACCCUCCAAUUUGGCACAAUGUUUAACCUUUGUCGUUUGAUUUAAGCUUCAGAAUGGUUGGUAGGUAAUGGUACUUUGAGCUUCAAGCUUAAAAAUCAUCGCAAACACAUACACCAGUACCAGGGUCUGCUUAAGAUAUUCGUUUGCCGUACUUUUUUUUUUGUUCAUCGCUUUAUAUCUCCCUUUUCUGUCUAUUUAUCUAUCUUGCUCCAACAACUCCUGCGAAGAAUAGGACUGCACACGAUUGCUCGUUUCGGUGACAAAAUUAAUUAAUUGAAAAUGUUUGAAUUUCAUUAGUGCACGCGCUAGCGUUCGUGUCGAUGGCACAAAUUUCCGGUCAAAGUUCGUACAAUUUCAGACCACCAUUAGACCACAUCGAAAUGUGUUUAUGCGUUCGGCAUUCGUUUGCUUGUUUCUUUGGUUUAAAACAGAAAAUAGCCUAAACGAUUAUUUUUCUCUCUAGUGAAUUCGUUUCAAUGAGCUUGAUUUUUUCCCACUCUCUACACCAUGUAGUGUGUCAAAACGCCUUUGCGGUACACUUUGCCAGUUUAGAUUUGACUAAGGGAUAAGCAACGAAAACACAGUAUAACAUCUCGAGGGACUCGGAUAGGAUUCGGCAAAAAAGGAAGCACGUAAUCUCAUUAAAUUUACAUGAGUCUGAUCAAAAUCUAAUUACGAGAUCGAACCGUAUCAGGGGUCGAAAGGCCGCCAAAAAUGUGGUCACACUGUAUCCGGGACGGUUGCCAUUUUUUUUCAAUUUAGAAACGAAACUUGUGCACUCACCACCAUUUCCCUUACCCAAUCGUAACCGGACCUAAUCGGCUACAACUCGGUGGAUGGGUUUAAAAAUUCAAGACCAAUGAUUUUUCAAUCGCGACCAUACCUCUUUCAGUUUUCAGCACUCCCGGUUUUGUUCUUCGCUAGCAUCAUGUUUUUUGUCGUACUUUUUUUUGUCGAGGCUCAGAUUUUCAUUUCGUUCCAUUCCCUAUCCUUCCGGCUAGGCAAUCAAAAAACGAGACCAAAUUUUUGUUGUUGCUAGUAAGGGAAGUUUGAACAAAAAAACAACCGUACGCACACACUAACGCAUAAACCAAAAAUGGAUGGUUUAAUCAACGGAAGUACGCCAUUACUGAUUCGGAUGAGGGAGCUGAUUUCAAUUCAGUGCUACCGGUCUACUUUCCGGGCCGAGGCUCAUGUAGCCUAUAGACUGUUUGCUACGGAUUUUUAUCGAUUUUGCUAAUUUUAGAGACAUUCUAAGUGCCUUUGGUUGUAUACUACCGAAGCAACCAAAAAGCCUAGAAAGGCUGAAAUGAUUCGAAACAUGAUGAAAUGAUGAUGGAUCGAUUCGUGAAGUCCGAAAGAGUUCUAUUUCACUUUCAAGCUUCAUAGUACUGCUUGCUUCUCUGUUUUUCAUUUCGCAAAGUCCUCAUUCGCAGUCGUAGGAAACACAAGUUAAAUAAACCCUUUUAUAAUGGACCCACAUUUACGAGUUGAAUAUGACAAAAUGUACAGAUUUUUAAAAUGAUUUUAGGUCAUCAAAGGAUUAAUUUUCACAUUUCUUGAAUAAAACCGUAUUUGCAAACAAAUACACACACUUCUAUUGCACCAUGUGUAGUUGUCCUCAAAAAUUAUUAUGAAAAAAAUAUGCAUUAAUGCACAGUUCCCCACAUAACCGCAUGGCUUAGGCUGCUCAUUGUGAUAUUAAACGAUUGACAUAACAAUGACUGUCACCGCAAGCUAGCAUGUGAGGGAUUAAAAACCCGAGAGCCCUACUUUGAUAAACCGAAAAGAGAAAAUGAAGUCAACAAAAUAUAAUGACUCUUUCCAUGGUAUGUCCCUUACCAUUCGUCAGCGAUACAGUGACACUGGUAAGCAAUAAGCGAGGCUUAAAACUUUAUUACAUUUUUAGAGUAACGAUUCAAAUAAGUAAUACAUGCAACUAGUACUGAAAUGCAGGGUUGGCAAACAUAUUUUAAUUAUAAUUUUUACUGCGAUACUCUGCAUAAGUAACUUCUAAAAAGUGACUAUUCAAUUGAUGACAGUUUCGUUCUUAAAGGAUAGCAAGUAAUCAAACCUUUUCCCCUUUUUUCCAUUCUUUUCAAUAUCAAUGAAGAAAGUGAUACUAACAAACUGUAUACCACGAAAGAAUGUUUUUUCUUCUCUCUCGCUGUACUCAUGGAUAAACACGUUCAACACCAGAACCAUCUGCUAUGGUAUCACCUUUCAACGAUCCGACUAGCGCUGAACCCAUUUUCGCUGGAUAAAGUUUUAGCAUUGACAUAGUUCUUACGUUACAAAACCAUCUCCACUACGUCGAAUGAAGGUAGCUUCAUAGUUUGCUAAGGAGGUGACAGCUAUAAAUACGGUGCAUAACUUAAUUCUCUUCAUUCACAGUACAGUUUACUACCGAAUCUAAAUCGUACUUGACGUGGGUGUUUAUACCUAUUAUCACGUUUCUAUUCAUUACGAUACAUUUUAAAUACAAAAGUGAAAAUGAUGCUGUUCCGCGUGUUUUUUAUCGUGUGCGCUUUAAUUGCCUUUGCAAAUUCCCUCCCAGCACCGUCGCUUAGGAAAGUGAUUGUUAAGCGACCGAUCGUCGUAAAGUCAGCUCCCGUCAUCGUACAUCGUCCGAUCGUUGUAAGAAAGUUCAGCUCCCACGGAGGAUGGUGGUAGACGACGGCGGUUGGAAGUAUGUUUCUGCAUCACAUUUCUGGCCAUAAUUAUACCAGGCAAAAACUAAACUCCGUUGACUAGGAAAAUCUUAUCACCACUUCCCGUAUGACCUACUUCCCAACAACGUUGAUGUGCAGCAUUCCGACCGAUCCGCAUCGAUGACAUCGAUCCAAUUAGAAUGUUCACGUCCCAAAAAGCAGAUUUUAUAUGUAAUCGAACGAACCCUGAAAUUGCUUCAAUUAAGCCAAAAGCAACCACUCCGUUUGCCAGGCAAGGCGUAGACUCUAGAGCGCACAAUAAAUCGAAUAUCAGGCAACGGUCCUGGCAAUCCGUUUACGGUUACCACCAACUA